CAUUUGAACUUGCUGCUUAAAACAACGAUAUGUGAUAAUCUGUGAAAAGCUGAGAACUAUUUAUUUCCUCAAAGGUUUCUGCUAAGUAUGUGUAUAUCCCCAUGGAAGACACUUCGCCUGGGACUGCUUUGCAAUGGAGCAGUUCCUCUGUGUGAGAUUGAUCUGCUGCACAUCAACUGGAUUUGGCAUGAAGGAAAGACUGGAAGUGAACGAGGUCUUUUUGAAGAGAUGUUUUGCUCUCAUUCUGGUUCUUUGAGAUGAAGACUGGAUCAGGUGAAAAGUAAUCCAAGGUCUAACCUUUCUAGAACUCACAAGGUCAAGCAUAGACUACAUUCCCCCCCCAAAAAAAACAACUGAUCAAGGAAACAUUUUAGUUGAAAGGUCAAUCCCUGUACAGAAUGAUUCCCCUCCCCCGCUGUGGUACCCACAUCCAUUUCAUAUCUAGCAUC